GGGGAUUUGGCUCAGUGGUAGAGCACUUGCCUAGCAAGUGCAAAGCCCUGGGUUCAGUCCCCA
rnacentral:tRNA from 1 species